AUUGAACGCUGGCGGCAUGCCUUACACAUGCAAGUCGAACGGCAGCACGGGAGCAAUCCUGGUGGCGAGUGGCGAACGGGUGAGUAAUAUAUCGGAACGUGUCCAGUCGUGGGGAUAACGUAGCGAAAGCUACGCUAAUACCGCAUACGAUCUAUGGAUGAAAGCGGGGGAUCGCAAGACCUCGCGCGAUUGGAGCGGCCGAUAUCAGAUUAGGUAGUUGGUGAGGUAAAGGCUCACCAAGCCGACGAUCUGUAGCUGGUCUGAGAGGACGACCAGCCACACUGGGACUGAGACACGGCCCAGACUCCUACGGGAGGCAGCAGUGGGGAAUUUUUGGGACAAUGGGCGCAAGCCUGAUCCAGCAAUGCCGCGUGCAGGAUGAAGGCC
rnacentral:rRNA from 1 species